CUGUGAUGUUUAUAGCGUUACACGAGGAAGAAGAAAUAAUAUUUAAAAAAGGUAACUUGAUUUUUGAAGAAAUACUGUAGAAGACAUUUUUAUAAAGCUGUUGUUUGAUCAGACAUUGUCAAAGCAAUUUUUGAAGAAAUACUGUAGAAGACAUUUUUAUAAAGCUGUUGUUUGAUCAGACAUUGUCAAAGCAAUUUUUGAAGAAGUACUGUAGAAGACAUUGUCAAAGCACAUUUGGAAUUAAGCCUAGUUGGUUCACAUCCAUAGCUGGUUUCUAUACUUUACCAAUAGAGUGAUGCCACGUAAAUCAAAUAAGAGCAAAGCCUCCAAAGCCAAAGAACAAAAACUAAGAAUGAGAGAAAGAAGGUUGGCAGAGGAGGCUUUGCAACAGUCUACUGAUAUUGAUAAAAUUGAAGGAGAAAGCACUGAGAAUGGUUAUCCUGAAGGAGAAAACACUGUUGAUGAAUUUACUGUCAAUAAAAUUGAAAGAAAUGACACUGUUAAUGAUUUGACUGUUAACUCUGUUGUCAAUAAAAUAAAUCACACUGAUAAUGAAUUGACUGUUAACUCUGUUGUCAAUAAAAGAAAUCACACUGAUAAUGAAUUGACUGUUAACUCUGUUGUCAAU